GCUUACGACCACACCGGCCUGAGUACGCCUGAUCUCGUCUGAUCUCGGAAGCUAAGCAGGGUCGGGCCUGGUUAGUACUUGGAUGGGAGACUUCCUGGGAAUACCAGGUGCUUUUGUCA
ensembl:rRNA 5S_rRNA 5S ribosomal RNA